GCGUGGAUGACAGGGUCAUCCCGACGUCGGAACUAAGCGACGACCUUAGAAGGAGUGGAGGCCGGGCCUGUCAUCUUCCUGCGGGCCUGGCAGCAGCGUGGGGCGGUGGACCCAAUCUAAUCAUCAGCUCCUGAAAAGUGGAAAACCUUUUCCAACUGGUGAGAGGGAGACGUGACAGUGAAGGCUCAGAGGGAGAUGCACUAUUGCUGGCCUUGAAGAUUGAGGAUGGAGUCGAGAGCUAAGGAAUGAACAGGACCUCCAGAAGCUAGAAAAGCCUGCUUAUUCCACUUCAAGGUCAGAGGUGACCAGAGUCCAUCCCAGGAGCUCAGAGCACAAGGUGGGAAUCAACCCUGGACAGGGCACCAUUCCUUCCCUGGCACAAUCACACUUAAACCCACUCUUACACUGGGACCACAUAGACACACCAAUGAACCUCGUGUGCACAGCUUUGGGAUGUACAAGGAAUCCGGAGUGCCUGGAGAAAACCUGCGCAGACAUGCGGAGACAGUAAACUCACACAGACGGUUACCCCAGCUGGGAAUCUAUUUUUUCUCUUAUCACUGUUGUAAUGCAACAACAUUGAAUGAAACAACAUUAUUUGAGGAUCUGCCAGAAGGGUUCUGAGUGGAGAGAAUGGAGGAGAAUCUCUUCAGAGAGCUUAAAGAAUAACUCAUCACAAGGUUCACAGGCAGCCACUCCUGAGGUUCCAUUGUGAAACACUAUCAUUUCAUUGGCUCCUUUUAUUUAAAAUAAUUAUAGGGGUGAAAUUCAGAUAACAUAAAAUUAAGCAUUUUGAAGUGAACAAUUCGGUAGCAUUUAGUAAUUCACAAUGCUAUGCCACCUCCUCCUCUAUCUAGUUCCACAUAAAAUUUGGAACUAGAUAAAUUAGUUCCUCCGAAAUAAAAUUCCAUACCCAUCAGCAGUUUCUCCUCAUUUUCCCCUUUCCGCAUCCUCUGGCAACCCCAGCCUGUGUUCGGUCUCUAUGGAUUUAGCUAUUCUAAAUAUUUCGGGUACAUGGGACCAAACAAUACGUGACCUUUUGUGUCUGGCUUCUUUCAUGUAGCAGAAUGCCUUCAAGGUUCGCCCACAUCAUAGUGUGUGUUAGUACUUCCAUUUUAUGGCUGAAAUAUAUUCCAUCGUAUGUUUAU